rnacentral:rRNA from 1 species
UGGGGAAUAUUGCACAAUGGGCGCAAGCCUGAUGCAGCCAUGCCGCGUGUAUGAAGAAGGCCUUCGGGUUGUAAAGUACUUUCAGCGGGGAGGAAGGGAGUAAAGUUAAUACCUUUGCUCAUUGACGUUACCCGCAGAAGAAGUACCGGCUAACUCCGUGCCAGCAGCCGCGGUAAUACGGAGGGUGCAAGCGUUAAUCGGAAUUACUGGGCGUAAAGCGCACGCAGGCGGUUUGUUAAGUCAGAUGUGAAAUCCCCGGGCUCAACCUGGGAACUGCAUCUGAUACUGGCAAGCUUGAGUCUCGUAGAGGGGGGUAGAAUUCCAGGUGUAGCGGUGAAAUGCGUAGAGAUCUGGAGGAAUACCGGUGGCGAAGGCGGCCCCCUGGACGAAGACUGACGCUCAGGUGCGAAAGCGUGGGGAGCAAACAGG